AAAAAAAAACAGUGCAUGUGUUAAAGCAGCUGGAGGCCCUAUGCUUCUGAUGGUGCAGCAGCUCUGGUGAGUCCUGGGUGACCUUACUGAACUAGCAAAGAACUGAGCAUUGCAAGUGCUCCUACCUCCCAGUUAUACUCCCCACCAGCCUCACAUUCAUAGCCAGUUACACUGUAUUAAUACAUCAAGGUAAGGCUAAGGAAGGGAUUUUGAUCAAGUUAGCCCAUCUAUAGAGAGUUAUUUACUAAAGUGGGAAUUGUUAAGAAUUCGAAGUGAAUUUAAAUAUUAGGUCAAAAUAGCAAAAGGUCUCAGAAGAGAAUGAUCUAAGACUGGAUGGUUAAGAUGGUGCCUGGGGACUUCAGAUACCAUAGCUACUUCAUUAAGAGGUAAUGGUUAUGGUGCCAGGAAUGAGCGCUGUCAAAUCUGCGACAAUAUGAAAUUCACCCUGAAUUCCCAAUAGGUCACACUUCAGCGACAAACACUGCUAAUAUGUGAGAAUUUACAGAUUACUUUGUAAAGAUAGAGAAGUGGAAAUUGCAGAUGAAGUAGCUAUUCGCCAGAAUGUGUAUUGAUGGGAAUUGUGAGUGAAUAUCCAACAAUGCGCACUUCAGUCAAUAACCCAGUACAGUAGACUGUUACUGGUUUCAGAGACCUAACAGGACCUAAGAUUUCAAGCGCUGAUUUAGUAUCUCAGUGUAUCUUAGUGUAUUUUAGUGAUUUGAAGUGGUAAUGGUUCCUGGUGUUGGUUUUCCUUUGAAACCCUGCACACACCCUACCAUAGGUGUAACUCCACCUCUGGCACCCUGCAAGAGGUGUAACUCCACCUCGAGCAGCGUUACUAGGACAUCAUUUAACACUACAGAACAAAACUUCAUUAGCUGGCUAAGGUCAGUUUUUUUUGCACUUUGGACACCUGUCAUCAGAACGUAUAACAGGUGUCCAAUGGACAUGAGCUACCUCUCCCUACCACCAAGUCCUCCUCUUAGCUCGUCAUCCCUGAAAUCCCUUCCUUGCGGCUAGGGGCAAUGACGUCAACAGAGGAAGAUUGGGUUGCUGGUAAACUUGGCUUUGGUGCUGCAGGGAGGUAUGUUAACUUUUUUUUUUAAUUAAGGGACAAUGAUAGGAAGGGUUACUCUAACCAAAGACAAUGUUUUAUAAAACACUGUUUUUUGUUUGGAGUAACCCGUCAUGUUUUUUUGAGUACAGUAAUAUAGGAUAGUGAAAAUGAGUGUGCUUAUUAGUGGAUGUGAUUCAUCUCAAAUUGGCUCUGUAUCCCCCUCCAAUGAAGCAUUUCAUAAAAAUAAAAUAUUUGUGAAAUGCUCAUAGAGGACUGUUGGAAUUUAAGAAACAUUCCAACGCAGUCAAAAGAUAGAACAAAGCAGGGACUACUUUGUCUUAUGGCAAAUUCUCAAGUUGACAAAUCGUGGAGCUACCGAUAUCAAGUUUUGUCACGUUCUACAGCCAUCGCUAAUGGAUGUGGGAGUGAGGCAUUAUCUUACUCAUUGUGAGAUAAUAUCUGUGGAGGCUAUAUUGGGAUCCUCCAUAGACAUAAGAGUUGUACUCUCACACAUGUAUGAAAGUACCGCAAUGACGUGAUCUCCUGGCAGAAGACAUGCCAGGAGCUGAAAAUCAAAGUAAGUAAUUGGAUUACUUAUUGAUAGCACUUUUUGAGCCAGAGCAUGUUUUAGUUUGGCCUGCAAAAUUAUGAUGACUUUAUAGUGAUUGAUACCAGACAGGCGUAAGAUGCUGAAUACUAAGUUCAGGUGAGAGAAAGGGAAUGAUCCCUCUAAAUGGCAUGAAUGACUGACACCCAGUUGCGGUUAAACUUAUUUGUAUCUUUUAAUCUGCAUACAGUAAAAGUCAUAAACUUAUAAAAGCAUUAGCUUUUUUUUACACCAAGGUAAUUGAGUAUGCAGUUUUGGGAGGUUUAACAGUAUUUGCAGACUUUCCAUGGAUAGAUUUUCACAGAGUAGUAGAAUUGGAAGGUGAUAUGAUUCUUAUAGCCGUUUCUAUAUUCUUUGUCUGAGUAAGCUUUAUUAACGACUUACAUUGUUUGGGUAAGGUAUUUCUUGAUCAUCACAUGCUGGCCAUGUGUUACUUAUUGAGUAUUGUAGAAAGCUCUUCACAUUUAAUUACAUGGAAGAGAUGAUUCCAUUUUCUUGCCCUUUGUGGUAAAGACAUUUUUUGCAUUUAGCACAAUUAAACGGCUACCCCAAGCACCAUGACUUCGUCAGAGAUUUGAAGUGGUCAUGGUGCCUGGAGUCUGUAUAGGAAUCAUUUCACUAUUAAACAGAGAGUGUGUGUGUAUGUGUGUGUGUGUGUGUGUGUGUGUGUGUGUGUGUGUGUGUAUAUAUAUAUAUAUGUGUGUAUAUAUAUAUAUAUAUAUAUAUAUAUAUAUAUAUAUAUAUAUAUAUAUAUAUAUAUAUACACACACAAAACCUGUAUGAUAGAGGCGCUUAAAUAUUGAUAAUAUCAGGUGAGGUUAGGCUACAACACUCUAUUGGGGACCCCUCUCACCCAUCAACAUCAUGCAAAAAAGAGAAAGUGGGCUUGGUUGUGUCCUCACUGCACGUGACUGGGGGAACUCUGGCAGUCAGCUUGGAGGGACCCUCUCUGGGAACAGCAGAGACCAGCAACACGCGUCCGCAUUACAGGUGGGUAGUUCUCCCAGUGAGUGCCAAGUUUCUCUGUCUUUUAUACCUUUUAGCAAGUUUGUAACUUUUCCAAGAUUUCUUAUCAGUGCAGCCCAGCAUGUAUCUUGUCAUGCGCAUUAGGUCAUCAGUAUGGUUGAUCAGGCCAGUCGUGACCACCCAAGGCUCAUGCCAGAUACGUGCGGUAUCUUAUUCUCUCUAUGUCCCUACUCUUAUCUCUCCAUACAUUUGUUGGCACCAAUUCCCUCUGUUCAUCACGUAGGCCUUUUUGGAUAUUGUCCAGACAUGCUAUGGAAUAUUCCAGGCAAUGUUGAAUUUCUUAGUGCGACACAGUUUAAGCAUUUUAUGCAAUGUCAUCAUAGCUGAAUUUCUUGGUGCGACACAAGCUGAAUUUCUUGGUGCGACACAAGCUGAAUUUCUUAGUGCGACACAAGCUGAAUUUCUUAGUGCGACACAAGCUGAAUUUCUUAGUGCGACACAAGCUGAAUUUCUUAGUGCGGCACAAGUUGAAUUUCUUAGUGCGACACAGUUUAAGCCAAGUGCCAUCUUAACUAUCUAUGAUAGAUUAAUUUGCUCAUUAGUGAUCAAUC
rnacentral:lncRNA from 1 species